ensembl:misc_RNA Y_RNA Y RNA
GGCUGGUCUGGAGAUAGUGAAUUGUCUUAAUUGAUUGUUGACAGUCACAGAUAGAACUUGUUCUACUCUUUCCCCUAUCCUUACUACUGCACUUGACUAGUUUUUU